UGGGGAAUAUUGCGCAAUGGGGGAAACCCUGACGCAGCGACGCCGCGUGCGGGAUGAAGGCCUUCGGGUUGUAAACCGCUUUUGAUUGGGAGCAAGCCUUUUGGGUGAGUGUACCUUUCGAAUAAGCGCCGGCCAACUACGUGCCAGCAGCCGCGGUAAUUCGUAGGGCGCAAGCGUUAUCCGGAAUUAUUGGGCGUAAAGAGCUUGUAGGCGGUUCGUCGCGUCUGGUGUGAAAGCCCAUCGCUUAACGGUGGGUUGGCGCCGGGUACGGGCGGGCUAGAGUGCAGUAGGGGAGACUGGAAUUCCCGGUGUAACGGUGGAAUGUGUAGAUAUCGGGAAGAACACCAAUGGCGAAGGCAGGUCUCUGGGCUGUUACUGACGCUGAGAAGCGAAAGCGUGGGGAGCGAACAGG
rnacentral:rRNA from 1 species